AUACGUAGGGGGCAAGCGUUGUCCGGAGUUACUGGGCGUAAAGCGUACGCAGGCGGUCUAUUAAGCGGCGGGUUCAAUCUCGGGGCUCAACCCCGAAGCAGCUCGCCGAACUGGUAGACUUGAGCACGGGAGAGGGCAGUGGAAUUCCCGGUGUAGCGGUGGAAUGCGUAAAUAUCGGGAGGAACACCAGUGGCGAAGGCUGCUGCCUGGAACGUUGCUGACGCUGAGGUGCGAAAGCCAGGGGAGCAAACGGGAUUAGAAACCCCAGUAGUCC
rnacentral:rRNA from 1 species